rnacentral:rRNA from 1 species
UACGAAGGGUGCAAGCGUUACUCGGAAUUACUGGGCGUAAAGCGUGCGUAGGUGGUUUGUUAAGUCUGCUGUGAAAGCCCCGGGCUCAACCUGGGAAUGGCAGUGGAUACUGGCAAGCUAGAGUGCGAAUGAGAGGGGUGUGGAAUUCCCGGUGUAGCGGUGAAAUGCGUAGAGAUCGGGAGGAACACCAGUGGCGAAGGCGGCACCCUCGGAUCAGC